rnacentral:rRNA from 1 species
AUUGAACGCUGGCGGCAGGCUUAACACAUGCAAGUCGAGCGGGGGAAGGUAGCUUGCUACCGGACCUAGCGGCGGACGGGUGAGUAAUGCUUAGGAAUCUGCCUAUUAGUGGGGGACAACAUCUCGAAAGGGAUGCUAAUACCGCAUACGUCCUACGGGAGAAAGCAGGGGAUCUUCGGACCUUGCGCUAAUAGAUGAGCCUAAGUCGGAUUAGCUAGUUGGUGGGGUAAAGGCCUACCAAGGCGACGAUCUGUAGCGGGUCUGAGAGUAUGAUCCGCCACACUGGGAUUGAGAAACGGCCCAGACUACCACGUGAGGCAGCAGUGGGGAAUAUUGGACAAUGGGGGGAACCCUAAUCCAGCCAUGCCGCGUGUGUGAAGAAGGCCUUAUGGUUGUAAAGCACUUUAAGCGAGGAGGAGGCUACUCUAGUUAAUACCUAGGGAUAGUGGACGUUACUCGCAGAAUAAGCACCGGCUAACUCUGUGCCAGCCGCCGCUGUAA